rnacentral:hammerhead_ribozyme from 2 species
AUGCGAAACCGCCCUCGGGCGGUCGGCCGGGCGUGGCGGCCCGGCCCUGAUGAGCAGCCAAAA